UUAAGAGACUAACACAGAUGUUAUUGAUCUUUUUCCUCUGGUUUGUCAGAACUUCACUUUUCUCUCAACAGCACAUCUUCUGACAACUUUCAGUUCAACCCAUCAUCUUGUUUAGUGCAUAAAUGCUGAACAGUGCCGUCCGCAUGGUUUGCUUUAGGUUCUGAGAAGAAAUGUAAGUAGAAAAUGAUCAUGUGGUUGCAGUUCUGGAUUCCUGCCUGUAGGGGGAUCUCAUGUUAAUCAUUUCUCUCCUGUUUGUGGAGAGUCAAGAUUAAACAGUGAAGGCCUGUUGGACACUUUGUGAAGCUCUGCUCAGACUGAUCAUCAUCUCCUGGAGCUGAUACUGCAGCCAUGAUCGUCCGUCCUCGUUCUCUCCUCCUGGGUCUGCUGGUCAUCCUCUACCUUCAGUCCGGUGCAGUGGGAAACAAUGGAAAUGCACCAAACAAAUGUUGUUUCAGUUUCUAUACCUCUAUACCUCUAUUUGUCAUUAGUGAGUAUGAAGAAACAAGCCAAGACUGUGAAAGAGCUGGAGUGAUUUUUACCACCAAGAGGGGUGUUCGUGUGUGUGUGGACCCCGGCUUUAAGUGGGUGAAGCGAGCCAUGGACAAAAUCGAUCGCCAAUUUGUGGAAUAUUCAUCCUGAACUCAGCCGAGUGAUUAAAUCUUCACUCUAUUAAUGGGAAACUAACUCCUUUUAAUAUUCCAGCUCUUUAUUACUACAGCAGUGCCCUCGUCUCUGAUUGGGUGAAGGAAUAAAGCUUUUCUGUUUUUUAUUAAGUUAUCUUUGAACAUUAAGUACAGACUGGAGGAAUGUGGUGUAGAUCAGAAUAUAAUACAUGAACCAAAUGUAUUCAGUGUUUUACAUCAGCACGAUUUCCUUUCACACUUUAAAUGUACAGAAAACAUUUACAGAUAUUUGUAUUGGAGUCUGUAAUCUGUGGCUGAACAAAUGUAAUAAUGUUUAUAUAAUGAUUCAAAUAUUAUAAACUCUACACCAACUUUUAUCUUUAGAUAUUUUGGGAUUGAGGGUUUAUUAAUGAAGUCCUAUACUGUAAUUCUCUAUUUAGACUAAUAUAAUCAAGUUAUUUACCUUCAGAUCUGAAUAUCAUUUUUAAAGAUGCAGCAUUUCUGAUGUUCAUUUUAUCAGAAUUUUAUUCUUGAUGUUCUACAGACUUUUAGUUACUUUAGGAUCUGCAUUCAUCACGUUCAUCAAUGUUCAUCAUUCUGGACACGUCUAACUUUUCUACAUUUUUAUUUGCAGCUUCUGUUUGAUGAUUCAGAGUCUAAAAUUGUGAAAUAUAUUUUUUUCUUAACUCUUAUGUACUUUUUUCUGUAAUAAAGUAAUAAAAAUAUUAAAUAUU